UAAAGUAAUUAGACCUGUGUUUUAUUAUACUUAUAAUUAUUGACUAUAAAGAAAGAAAACUAUAUAAAUAUAAAAUCGAUCUGUCAAGACCAAGAUCACAUCAUGAAGAUAUUUAUUUUUCUCACGCUCAUGUCCAUUUGCUAUUCUACAGCUCAAGAUCUUGAUGAGUGCGCUAGCUCUCCCUGUCUCCAUGGAGCAUGUGUCAAUAAAGCAGGGUCUUUCCAAUGUCUCUGCUUCCCUGGCUAUAUUGGUCGUUUAUGUGAGAUUGACUUUGAUAUCGCUGCCGUUGCGUGUACAGAAGGACUGCUGUGUGAAAACCACCAACUCACUACAACCUAUUCAGGACGA
rnacentral:sRNA from 1 species